CCUACGGGUGGCAGCAGUGAGGAAUAUUGGUCAAUGGUAGUAAUACUGAACCAGCCAAGCCGCGUGCAGGAUGACGGCCCUAUGGGUUGUAAACCUCUUUUGUCGGGGGACAAAACCCGGGACGUGUCCCGGACUGCGUGUAUCCGAAGAAAAAGCAUCGGCUAACUCCGUGCCAGCAGCCGCGGUAAUACGGAGGAUGCGAGCGUUAUCCGGAUUUAUUGGGUUUAAAGGGUGCGUAGGCGGUCCGUUAAGUCAGCGGUAAAAUCGCGGGCCUCAACCCCGGCAAGCCGUGGAAACUGGCAGACUUGAGUUCGCGAGACGUAUGCGGAAUGCGCGGUGUAGCGGUGAAAUGCAUAGAUAUCGCGCAGAACUCCGAUUGCGAAGGCAGCGUACCGGCGCCCGACUGACGCUGAGGCACGAAAGCGCGGGGAUCGAACAGGAUUAGAUACCCGGGUAGUC
rnacentral:rRNA from 1 species